GAUGAACGCUGGCGGCGUGCCUAAUACAUGCAAGUCGAGCGAACGGACGAGAAGCUUGCUUCUCUGAUGUUAGCGGCGGACGGGUGAGUAACACGUGGAUAACCUACCUAUAAGACUGGGAUAACUUCGGGAAACCGGAGCUAAUACCGGAUAAUAUUUUGAACCGCAUGGUUCAAAAGUGAAAGACGGCCUUGCUGUCACUUAUAGAUGGAUCCGCGCUGCAUUAGCUAGUUGGUAAGGUAACGGCUUACCAAGGCAACGAUGCAUAGCCGACCUGAGAGGGUGAUCGGCCACACUGGAACUGAGACACGGUACAGACUCCUACGGGAGGCAGCAGUAGGGAAUCUUCCGCAAUGGGCGAAAGCCUGACGGAGCAACGCCGCGUGAGUGAUGAAGGUCUUCGGAUCGUAAAACUCUGUUAUUAGGGAAGAACAUAUGUGUAAGUAACUGUGCACAUCUUGACGGUACCUAAUCAGAAAGCCACGGCUAACUACGUG
rnacentral:rRNA from 1 species